CAUGGCCGCGGCGUCAACCAGCAUCGCGUGAGAAUGUAUUUUUUUACAACUUCUCCCUUGUCCCCCUGUGGAUCAGUCGAACAACGGGCAAAGGCGACAGGCCGGGUUGUAUGGCACGCCACUGUUGCGUGCCUGCACUAGACGCGGCGCGCAACAGUC
rnacentral:sRNA from 1 species